UACAGAGGUCUCAAGCGUUGUUCGGAUUCAUUGGGCGUAAAGGGUGCGUAGGUGGCGGGGUAAGUCAGGUGUGAAAUCUCGGGGCUCAACCCCGAAACUGCACUUGAUACUGCCUUGCUCGAGUACUGGAGAGGAGAUUGGAAUUUACGGUGUAGCAGUGAAAUGCGUAGAUAUCGUAAGGAAGACCAGUGGCGAAGGCGAAUCUCUGGACAGUUACUGACACUGAGACGCGAAAGCGUGGGGAGCGAACAGG
rnacentral:rRNA from 1 species